rnacentral:rRNA from 1 species
AAAUUUUAAUGUAAAUUUAAAUAUUAAUCUGUAGAGGUACAGCUCUACAGAACAAGACUACAACCUUAAUUAGAGAGUAAAUUUUAUAACAACCAUAGUUGGCUUAAAAGCAGCCACCAAUUAAGAAAGCGUUCAAGCUCGACAAUUAAAUCAAUACUUAAUUCAAAAAAUUAUAUUAACCCCUAAUUUGAUUACUGGAUUAUUCUACUAAAUGUAGAAGAAAUACUGUUAAUAUGAGUAAUAAGAUCUUAGAUCUCCAAACACACGUGUAUAUCAGCCCGAAUACCUACUGAUAUUUAACAAUUAAAUAAAUCUAUACACAAAUAAAUGAUUUUUUAUUAUAUUGUUAACCCAACACCGGAGUGUAUAUUAAGGAAAGAUUAAAAAAAGUAAAAGGAACUCGGCAAACAUUAAUCCCGCCUGUUUACCAAAAACAUCACCUCUAGCAUUAUCAGUAUUAGAGGCACUGCCUGCCCAGUGACAUUAGUUAAACGGCCGCGGUAUCCUGACCGUGCAAAGGUAGCAUAAUCAUUUGUUCCUUAAUUAGGGACUUGUAUGAAUGGCCUCACGAGGGUUUAACUGUCUCUUACUUUUAAUCAAUGAAAUUGACCUUCCCGUGAAGAGGCGGGAAUACUAAAAUAAGACGAGAAGACCCUAUGGAGCUUAAAUUAAAUUAUCCAACAAACCUAACUUAAAUCCAACAGGAAUAAUUAAAUUUUAACUGGAUAAUAAAUUUUGGUUGGGGUGACCUCGGAGCAUAACUUAACCUCCGAGCAGUUAAAACUCAGACUUACCCGUCAAAGUGGAACUAUUAAUUGAUCCAAUCUUAUUGAUCAACGGAACAAGUUACCCUAGGGAUAACAGCGCAAUCCUAUUUGAGAGUCCAUAUCGACAAUAGGGUUUACGACCUCGAUGUUGGAUCAGGACAUCCUAAUGGUGCAGCAGCUAUUAAAGGUUCGUUU